CGGCCGCGGAGAACGGGCGCCGGCGCAGUAGGAUGAGGCAGCCAGCGGAUCCAGGAGCCUGAGCCCUUGCGAAGCCGGCAAUGACAAGUCUGAAUGGUCGCCAUGCCGAGAAAACCAUUGACAUGCCAAAACCAUCAGCCCCCAAAGUGCACGUGCAAAGGUCUGUGUCCCGAGAUACCAUCGCCAUCCACUUCUCGGCAUCCGGGGAGGAGGAGGAGGAAGAGGAGGAGGAGCUCAGGGGCUACUUGGAGGAGGGGCUAGAUGACCAAAGCAUUGU
rnacentral:lncRNA from 1 species